AAAUAGAAGGCUCCUGGAGUUAGAAGGACAUGACCUGAAAUUUUGGUUGCAUGGAUAUUUGUGGUAAUUUUGGUUGCAUGGAUAUUUGUGGAGCUGAAGAAGCUUCUUGGAUGAGAAGCAAAACGUCUUCAAAGAAAAACCAGAAAGUCCAGUUGUCUCUUGAAAAAGCACCUUUGGGACAACCAUGACCUGGAUGACUGAGAAUCUCCAUAUACAUAACAGGAGCUAUGCUACUCUAAUUGCAUGUCCAAGAUGGAAGCCCAGACACUUGGAGGAACACUUAAGACAAUCUCAGAAACUGCGCUGAUAUUUUGGAAGACUUUAUCCCCCAAAGAUUCAGUGAUUACCUCUCCACUCUGACAUUGUGUGAUUUUUAAAAAAAUAUUUCCUAGGUUAUUUUGAAUUAAUGAAAAUUUUGCUUUAUCUGCUGGGACUGUUUAUCUUGCACAUUUAUUGUAUGCAUAUACCUCUUUUAUAUACUAAUAAAAACUAAUAUUACACAUAUAAUAAUACCAUGUUAGCUAAUUAAACCAUUCACCUUUAAGUUAAUUAAGAAAAAGAAAAAAGGGAAAUGAAGAGAAAUACAGAGAUGGCCUUUAAGUAGGUAUUGUAGUUAUUACAAAAAACAUCAAUUUAGUCAAAAAGAUUGAAAGGGACGAGGAAGGAAGUGAACAUUGUCCCAUUUUAACACUCUUUUUUAUAAGGAUAGAGGGAAAAACUCUCUCAGGCUUUCAAGAGUCCGUUAAAAGAAUCUUCACUUUCAGUUUUAUAAGUUAUAUAAGUUAUAAUAACAAACAAACAGAGUCUCAGUUGUUCUUAUAGUAUCUGUUUCCUGACCUGGUUUACCUCAAACAUUAAAUAAUAUGUUAUGUGACAGCCAACUUUCUAAAUAGUCCGCCAACUGACAUCUAUGGUGAUAAACAUGGUUAAAUAUAGAAAGAGAAAAAAUAUGUAUGAAAAUGAAAGGAUAUAGACCUUUAUAAUAAAAGAAGUGUGAUAAAUGAAGUUGUGUUUGUUGGGCCAAAGAGGAAAUAGAGGAAGAGACAGCAAAAAACUACCAAAAAGGGUGAAGAAGAUUCUGGUGCUAGCCUGUGGUAAUAAUUAAUUAUGGUGUCCAUUUUAUUUUUAGUCUUUCAUUUGGAAUAACAUGAAUAAUACUAGAAGUAUUUGUGAUCCUUUCACUGUAGCUUAGGAUGUGGAUAGGGCAAUUCCACAAAGAAAACUUUUCUGCUCCUAUUAUAUGGUUGUCUAUUUUGCUUUGAGUGCCUAGCAGGAGCCAUGAAGGUUGUCCUCCAACUAUCUUCCCAUUUUAUUCCUUUAUGUUUCUAUAUUUUUAUUUAUUUUUUGUUACAGUAUGUCUUACAUAUCUCUUACAUUGAGAUGUGGUUUUGUUAUUUUGCUUGUAAGCCACCUGGAGUCACUUUUGGUGGAAUGAGCAGCUAUAUAAAGUUGCUAAAUAAAUAAACAAGCAACUUAGUAAAAAAGUGACCUAUAUUAGGAAACUGAUAGAGAUAGUGUUUGUUUCUCUUUCACGAAUCCUCUAUGUAUUCAGAAGUUGAUUGGAAGAUCCACAUGGGAGAAGAGAUUAUAAACAAAUUGCCAACUUUGGCAACUUUAAGACUUGUGGACUUCAAUUUCCAAAAUUCUUCAACCAGUCACAAAGUGCACAAGUCUUAAAGUUGUCAAGGUUGGGCACGCCUUCAUUUCCUAUAGCUAGUUUUCUUUCUCAUCUCACCCUUCCCAGCUGUGUUUCUAUCCAUGGUGGAAAAAAAUAGCUCUAACCAUUCCUUUCUCAGUUGGAAGGGUUCUUUUGCCUGGGUAUCAAAGAAAAGAAAGAUGUAAAGAUGUAAAGAAAAUUAAAGGAUUCAGAAUCUUCAACUAUAUGUCCUUUCCAAUUCAGGGUUUUCCACCGGUGCUUUUUUGUUUUUUUAAGUAACAUUUAAUGUGGAUACAGAAUCGUCAUCAUUUGAGAAGAAAUCUCAUUAGAACAAUUCUGAGUUUUUUUAAAUAAACUUGCCCUUGCUUAUCAUUGUGCUAAACAAUUAUUUUUUAAAAAGUGAGUGAGAUGCAACGUGUAAAGGAAGAGUUGAAAAACAACAGAGUUAAUACAGGAUAGAACUGCUUUUUUGAAAAGUAGUGCUUGAAAAAGUAGAAUCUUGUUUUUGGAAUAAGUUGAUUGGAGGUUAACAUUGGCAGACCACAAUGUAGAGGCAACAAUUCUGUGUAACCACUUUUUUACUUUGUCCAAAAAAGAGAAUUUUAAAAUACUGAAGCAGAAAUAUUGCAGAAACAGAAAUCUGGACUACAUUAGGCAUGUUGCAAUUCUUCCUAUACAGCAUAAAUACAUAUUAUUAAGCUGUUAUUUUAUGGCAGUUUUCUUGAUCAUAUGUGCUUAACAGAUUUGUUGGCAUGGGCCUCUUCAGUAGGGUUGUCCAAAAAGUCAAGAUGGCGUCCUCAAUCACUUGACUGAAACCCCACCAUUUUUUAAUGUGUUCCAUAUAGCUACUCCUGAAUUCUUGAUUUUUUUUAUUCCUGCAGAUACACCUGUUUCUGGAUGACUGCUCCUGUCACAUUACAAAUUUGGAUUGUGAAUGACAGCUCCUAUCCUCAACUCAUAUGGAAAUUGCCAGGGUGGUUAAGGCAAGAUAUUUAAAAGAUUCUGCUGAUUAUUACUUAAUUACAAGGUCUGCAACAAGAAUGUAGAAACAUGAUCAUCCUUGACUGAUUGAGAAAACAAAGCAAAACAAAACAAAAAGGCAAGUCAUGGCUCAUGGCAGUUUUAGCUUGGAGGUAGCCUGGUUAGAUACCUCCUUAUUAAAAUUUUAAAAAAAUACAUACAAGUGGAAUUAUAUAAUUCCAAAUAUUAAA